rnacentral:rRNA from 1 species
GGAGUCUGGGCCGUGUCUCAGUCCCAAUGUGGCCGUUCAACCUCUCAGUCCGGCUACUGAUCGUCGACUUGGUAGGCCGUUACCCCACCAACUAUCUAAUCAGACGCGAGCCCAUCUUUAAGCGAUAAAUCUUUGAUUGCCAAAUCAUGCGGUUCGGCAAUGUUAUGCGGUAUUACCAUCCGUUUCCAGAAGCUAUUCCGCUCUUAAAGGCAGGUUGCUCACGUGUUACUCACCCGUCCGCCACUAAGUUAUUCAAAAGCAAGCUCCUAAAUAACUCCGUUCGACUUGCAUGUGUUAAGCGUGCCGCCAGCGUCGUCCUCGAGCCACGGAUCAAACUACU